AACGAACGCUGGCGGCGGGCUUAACACAUGCAAGUCGAACGGUGAACCCCGUCUUAGCGGAUCAGUGGCGAACGAGGGAUUAACACGUGGGCAACCUUCCCCCAGCUCUGUGAGAACUCCAAGGUAUUGGGGCUAAUGCCGUAUGUGCACCGCUUCCCGCGUGGGAGGUGUUGGAAGGGUUGUCCGGCUUGGGAUGUGCGCGCGGCCUGUCAGCUUGUUGGGUGGGUAGUGUGCUAGCAAGGCGACGACGGGUAGCCGGGCUGAGAGGGUGACCGGCCACACCGGGAUUGAGCCACGGCCCAGCCCACUACGCGAGGCAGCAGUGCGGAAUGUUGUCUUAUGGGCGGAAGCCUGACGCAGUCAAGCCGUGUCGGGGAUGACGGCCUUCGCGUUGUAAACCUAUUCCAGCAGGGACGAAGAGAAAGUGACGGUACCUGCAGAAGAAGCCCCGGCCAACUCCGUG
rnacentral:rRNA from 1 species